rnacentral:tRNA from 1 species
GGUGGCUCAGUGGUAGAGAGCUUGCCUUGCAAGCAUGAGGUCCUGGGUUCGAUUCCUCAGCACCA